rnacentral:rRNA from 1 species
UGAUGGCGACCGGCGCACGGGUGCGUAACGCGUAUGCAACCUACCUUUUACAGGGGCAUAACACUGAGAAAUUGGUACUAAUUCCCCAUAAUAUCUGAGACGGCAUCGUUUUGGGUUGAAAACUCCGGUGGUAAAAGAUGGGCAUGCGUUGUAUUAGCUAGUUGGUGAGGUAACGGCUCACCAAGGCGACGAUACAUAGGGGGACUGAGAGGUUAACCCCCCCACAUUGGAACUGAGACACGGUCCAAACUCCUACGGGAGGCAGCAG